rnacentral:rRNA from 1 species
UACGUAGGGACCAAGCGUUGUUCGGAUUUACUGGGCGUAAAGGGCGCGUAGGCGGCGGUGACAAGUCACUUGUGAAAUCUCUGAGCUUAACUCAGAACGGCCAAGUGAAACUGUUGUGCUAGAGUGCAGAAGGGGCAAUCGGAAUUCUUGGUGUAGCGGUGAAAUGCGUAGAUAUCAAGAGGAACACCUGAGGUGAAGACGGGUUGCUGGGCUGACACUGACGCUGAGGCGCGAAAGCCAGGGGAGCAAACGGG